GACGUAGGAUGCGAGCGUUGUCCGGAUUUAUUGGGCGUAAAGAGUUCGUAGGUGGUUUGUCAAGUCUGAUGUUAAAGAUCGGGGCUCAACCCUGGGACUGCAUUGGAUACUGGCAGACUUGAGUGUGGUAGAGGCUAGUGGAAUUCCCAGUGUAGCGGUGAAAUGCGUAGAUAUUGGGAAGAACACCGGUGGCGUAGGCGACUAGCUGGGCCAUAACUGACACUGAGGAACGAAAGCCAGGGUAGCGAAUGGGAUUAGAUACCCCAGUAGUCCUGGCCGUAAACGAUGGAUACUAGGCGUAUCGGGUAUCGACCCCUGAUGUGCCGCAGCUAACGCGAUAAGUAUCCCGCCUGAGUAGUACGGCCGCAAGGUUGAA
rnacentral:rRNA from 1 species